GCUGGUGUGGCUCAACGGCAGAGCAAUCGCCUUGUAAGCGAUCGGUUGCGGGUUCAACUCCUGUCACCAGCCCCA
rnacentral:tRNA from 1 species